rnacentral:rRNA from 1 species
UGGGGAAUAUUGCACAAUGGGCGCAAGCCUGAUGCAGCCAUGCCGCGUGUGUGAAGAAGGCCUUCGGGUUGUAAAGCACUUUCAGCGAGGAGGAAGGGUUCAGUGUUAAUAGCACUGUUCAUUGACGUUACUCGCAGAAGAAGCACCGGCUAACUCCGUGCCAGCAGCCGCGGUAAUACGGAGGGUGCAAGCGUUAAUCGGAAUUACUGGGCGUAAAGCGCACGCAGGCGGUUUGUUAAGUCAGAUGUGAAAUCCCCGCGCUUAACGUGGAACUGCAUUUGAAACUGGCAAGCUAGAGUCUUGUAGAGGGGGGUAGAAUUCCCAGGUGUAGCGGUGAAAUGCGUAGAGAUCUGGAGGAAUACCGGUGGCGAAGGCGGCCCCCCUGGACAAAGACUGACGCUCAGGUGCGAAAGCGUGGGG